AAUGCUUGGAAAGUGUCUCAGGUGUGAGUUGGUGGAGCCUGCACUCCCAGCAGCUAAGGUAGAAGCAUAUGGGAAACUGCAUUCCGAUCCAGGGAAGUAUAGGAAGCAGUAAUAAAAGUGGGAAGACCUAUUAUAAGUUCGUUGCAGUCAUCCAGGUAAGAGGGGAUACUGGCUGAAAACAAGGUUUCAGCUAUGUGGGCCCUAGCUUGGAAGGGAUGGGAUUCUACAUAUGUUUUGUAGCUGGAAGCAGGAGUUUGAGGCUAAGAGAUGACCUGAGAAUAGAAUGAUUUUAGGUGUUAGGCCUGAGAGAUGAGGGCACAUUAGGGAGGAGCAUGUGCAGCGGGGGCAGGGCAUCCAGAAUGCUCUUUGGACAUCUUAUAUUUUAAGUGCCUGUCAGACACCCAAGUAGAGACGCCUGAUGUGAAGACAUGAAUAUCUGCAGCUUGAGGUCCUUCGUAAGAUCAUUUGAAAAUAAGAGUUGUGCUACUAAAAUAAAAUGUGCAAAAAAAA
rnacentral:lncRNA from 10 species